rnacentral:rRNA from 1 species
GAUGAACGCUGGCGGCGUGCUUAACACAUGCAAGUCGAACGGGAUCCCAGGAGCUUGCUCCUGGGUGAGAGUGGCGAACGGGUGAGUAAUGCGUGACCGACCUGCCCCAUACACCGGAAUAGCUCCUGGAAACGGGUGGUAAUGCCGGAUGCUCCAGUUGGAUGCAUGUCCUUCUGGGAAAGAUUCAUCGGUAUGGGGUGGGGUCGCGUCCUAUCAGCUUGAUGGCGGGGUAACGGCCCACCAUGGCUUCGACGGGUAGCCGGCCUGAGAGGGCGACCGGCCACAUUGGGACUGAGAUACGGCCCAGACUCCUACGGGAGGCAGCAGUGGGGAAUAUUGCACAAUGGGCGCAAGCCUGAUGCAGCGACGCCGCGUGCGGGAUGACGGCCUUCGGGUUGUAAACCGCUUUUGACUGGGAGCAAGCCCUUCG